AUUGAACGCUGGCGGCAGGCCUAACACAUGCAAGUCGAGCGGAGCGGCGGACGGGGGAGUAAUGCCUGGGAAUCUGCCUGGUAGUGGGGGAUAACGUCCGGAAACGGGAGCUAAUACCGCCUACUUUAAGAUGAGCCUAGGUCGGAUGAGCUAUGUGGUGGGGUAAAGGCCUACAAAGGCGACGGUCCGUAGCUGGUCUGUGAGGAUGAUCAGUCACACUGGAACUGAGACACGGUCCAGACUCCUACGCGAGGCAGCAGUGGGGAAUAUUGCACAAUGGGCGAAAGCCUGAUCCAGCCAUGCCGCGUGUGUGAAGAAGGUCUUCGGAUUGUAAAGCACUUUAAGUUGGGAGGCGUUACCAACAGAAUAAGCACCGGCUAACUUCGUGCCAGCAGCCGCGGUAAUAC
rnacentral:rRNA from 1 species